UGAAAUAGUUGCGCAACAGUCAUUCAGUGGCUCUUUGUAGCAGAGGCGCCAGAUAAUGGUUUCAGCGCUGCGCAUUACAGUAGGCACCACGUGCAGAAGUGCAGAGAUGUUAGCCUCAUUUCCAUCAGUUUGGUACAAAACUGAUUUUGAAAUAAUGCAUUUUCAUAUUUUAAUACCCUAAACUACAUUUUUACGCAAAAAAAAAACAGUCAAGAGUCAGCAUUUCUAAGAGCAGCCAGCACCCUGCUGUGACUAGUGGUGCACAGUUGGUAUGCAGACAUGUUAAGUGCAGGGAAAAGCACCGCACCCAUUGAGGAAACACAACUAAAUCCCGCAUGUAAUACGGAGUGUGAGAGAAAUCUCAAGCGGCGUGUGUGUAGAAUCUCAUCCAAACACUACGGUCCCAAAGGAUAAAGAAUAAAAUGAGAAGAAAGAAGAAGUUUGACUCACCAGACAUUAUUGGCGUGAAGAGGAGCAGGACCCAGUGAAACACCCCAAGCGCCUGUUCUUGGCUCUAUUAUAUGGGCAAGAACGAAAUAUUGAUAAAAUUGUCACAAAGUCUCAAUCAAUCACCCUCACAACACUCUCACUAUAUACAAUUAUGCAGUAAUAUAGCCAGGGAAGCAUUAGUUUGAGUUUUUCUGCCCUCAUCCCUACUAUUUAAAGUCCCAAGAACUCAAUGAUUUGACAAUGAUUUGAUUGCGCGAUACUUUCAAUUUGAAUAUUCAAAGACUUCGCAAAAAUACUUAUAUCUUCGCGAUAUUCGCCAUCAGAGCGCAUGUAAGAGCACCCCCUUUAAUAGAAUAUUACACCAUUUCACACUUUGACACAAAAACAAAAAUAUAUUUUUGACAUUUUAUCACCCUUUUGAUAUUGAUGCCAAGAGACUGGCUGUGGAGCUCUCUUUGCACUUUACAAUAUCCAAGAGCGAGCAAAUGGCUUUCCAAACAACACACAACACCAGGCAUAUAUCCCACAGUGCAUAACCAUAUCAAUAAAUAAGAAAUAAUAUGUCCUGUGGCUUGAUUGUAAACCAUUUUUCCAGAAAUGUAGGCAUGGUGGGCGUGGCAUAUAGUGGCAGCCAUUUUGACCAUCAGAGCAUGGGGAGCUUGUGCUCUCUGACAUCCACUUUACACAUGUUAACAGUUCUGUAAUGAAUAUUAUUUUUAUUAUGAUCCUGUGUAACCUGAAUUUUAUAUUAAUCAUAUGUAAUCUGUAGUGUUUUAUGAAAUAGCUGUCCUUAUAGUAGGCUAUUUGUCAUAAUGGUUAUUUCUUAUCCCAAAUAUUUUAAAACUCAGAUAAUCAAAUGUUGCUAUUGCAAUCCUGAUAAUAUUAUAGGACAACAUUUUUUUUACACUAUUUAUAUUUUACCUACUAGGAUGAAUUUUGUAAAUUAAAGCAAGAGGACAUUAAUAAAAAGAAAUGUGGUCUUACUUUA